rnacentral:rRNA from 1 species
AACGCGAAGAACCUUACCUGGACUUGACAUCCUCGGAAGCCUAUAGAGAUAUGGGUGUGCCUUCGGGAACCGAGAGACAGGUGCUGCAUGGCUGUCGUCAGCUCGUGUCGUGAGAUGUUGGGUUAAGUCCCGUAACGAGCGCAACCCUUGUCCUUAGUUGCCACCGGGUAAUGCCGAGCACUCUAAGGAGACUGCCAGUGACAAGCUGGAGGAAGGUGGGGAUGACGUCAAGUCAUCAUGGCCUUUAUGUCCAGGGCUACACACGUGCUACAAUGGUGGUUACAAAGGGAAGCCAAGCCGCGAGGCGGAGCAAAUCCCAUAAAAGCCAUCUCAGUCCGGAUUGGAGUCUGCAACUCGACUCCAUGAAGCUGGAAUCGCUAGUAAUCGCGGAUCAGCAAUGCCGCGGUGAAUACGUUCCCGGGCCUUGUACACACCGCACGA